GGCGGCUAGGAAGAGCGGCCAAUUAAACCUGUCCGGCCGGGAGUUGACCGAAGUACCUCUACAUGUAUGGCGAAUAAAUUUGGAUACUCCAGAAGAGGCCCACCAAAAUGUAUCUUUCAGUGCUGCCGAUCGCUGGUGGGAGCAAACUGAUCUCAACAAAUUGAUUUUAUCUUCUAACAAACUGCAGUGUCUUUCUGAUGAUGUCAAACUCUUACCUGCUCUCACUGUGCUUGAUGUGCAUGAUAAUCAACUCACGUCUCUCCCUGCUGCUGUAGGAUCACUAGAAAAUCUUCAGAAACUUAAUGUGAGUCAUAAUAAACUGAAAAAGAUACCAGAAGAACUUACUCAGCUAAAACACUUGAAGAGUCUGCUUCUGCAGCACAAUGAAUUGUAUCACUUGCCUGAUGAAUUUGGACAGCUUGUCAGUUUGGAAGAGUUGGAUAUCUCUAAUAACCACAUCUCUGGUAUCCCAACAAGUUUUGCUUUCCUUAUAAACUUGGUGCGUCUCAAUUUAGCUUCUAAUCAAUUAAGGAAUCUACCCACAGAAAUCAGUGCAAU